UGAGGAAUAUUGGUCAAUGGGCGAGAGCCUGAACCAGCCACGUCGCGUGAAGGAAGACUGACCUUACGGUUUGUAAACUUCUUUUGUAGAGGGGUAAUGGCAGAUACGUGUAUUUGCGUGAAAGUACUCUACGAAUAAGCAUCGGCUAACUCCGUGCCAGCAGCCGCGGUAAUACGGGGGAUGCGAGCGUUAUCCGGAAUUAUUGGGUUUAAAGGGUGCGCAGGUGGCUAAUCAGGUCAGUGGUGAAAAGCUAUGGCUCAACCAUGGUCUUGCCAUUGAAACCGUAUAGCUAGAGAGGAGACGAGGUAGGCGGAAUGUGUGGUGUAGCAGUGAAAUGCAUAGAUAUCACACAGAACUCCGAUUGCGAAGGCAGCUUACCAGGCUUUAUCUGACACUUAGGCACGACAGCGUGGGGAUCAAACAGG
rnacentral:rRNA from 1 species